AUUGAACGCUGGCGGCAGGCCUAACACAUGCAAGUCGAGCGGAUGAAGGGAGCUUGCUCCUGGAUUCAGCGGCGGACGGGUGAGUAAUGCCUAGGAAUCUGCCUGGUAGUGGGGGAUAACGUCCGGAAACGGGCGCUAAUACCGCAUACGUCCUGAGGGAGAAAGUGGGGGAUCUUCGGACCUCACGCUAUCAGAUGAGCCUAGGUCGGAUUAGCUAGUUGGUGGGGUAAAGGCGUACCAAGGCGACGAUCCGUAACUGGUCUGAGAGGAUGAGCAGUCACACUGGAACUGAGACACGGUCCAGACUCCUACGGGAGGCAGCAGUGGGGAAUAUUGGACAAUGGGCGAAAGCCUGAUCCAGCCAUGCCGCGUGUGUGAAGAAGGUCUUCGGAUUGUAAAGCACUUUAAGUUGGGAGGAAGGGCAGUAAGUUAAUACCUUGCUGUUUUGACGUUACCAACAGAAUAAGCACCGGCUAACUUCGUG
rnacentral:rRNA from 1 species